UAGGGAAUCUUCGGCAAUGGACGAAAGUCUGACCGAGCAACGCCGCGUGAGUGAAGAAGGUUUUCGGAUCGUAAAACUCUGUUGUUAGAGAAGAACAAGGACGUUAGUAACUGAACGUCCCCUGACGGUAUCUAACCAGAAAGCCACGGCUAACUACGUGCCAGCAGCCGCGGUAAUACGUAGGUGGCAAGCGUUGUCCGGAUUUAUUGGGCGUCAAGCGAGCGCAGGCGGUUUCUUAAGUCUGAUGUGAAAGCCCCCGGCUCAACCGGGGAGGGUCAUUGGAAACUGGGAGACUUGAGUGCAGAAGAGGAGAGUGGAAUUCCAUGUGUAGCGGUGAAAUGCGUAGAUAUAUGGAGGAACACCAGUGGCGAAGGCGGCUCUCUGGUCUGUAACUGACGCUGAGGCUCGAAAGCGUGGGGAGCAAACAGG
rnacentral:rRNA from 1 species